AGAGUUGUAUCCUGGCUCAGGAUGAACGCUAGCGGCAGGCCUAACACAUGCAAGUCGAGGGGUAGAAUGUCUUCGGAUGUUUGAGACCGGCGCACGGGUGCGUAACGCGUAUGCAACCUACCUCUUACUGGGGAAUAGCCCGGAGAAAUUCGGAUUAAUGCCCCAUAUGCUCGUACGACCUCAUGGUCGAGCGAGGAAAGCUCCGGCGGUAAGAGAUGGGCAUGCGUCCUAUUAGCUUGUUGGUGAGGUAACGGCUCACCAAGGCUACGAUAGGUAGGGGGCCUGAGAGGGUGACCCCCCACACUGGUACUGAGACACGGACCAGACUCCUACGGGAGGCAGCAGUGAGGAAUAUUGGGCAAUGGAGGAAACUCUGACCCAGCCAUGCCGCGUGCAGGAAGACGGCCCUAUGGGUUGUAAACUGCUUUUGUACGAGAAUAAACCUUUCCACGUGUGGAAAGCUGAAGGUACCGUACGAAUAAGGAUCGGCUAACUCCGUGCCAGCAGCCGCGGUAAUACGGAGGAUCCAAGCGUUAUCCGGAUUUAUUGGGUUUAAAGGGUCCGUAGGCGGGUCUUUAAGUCAGUGGUGAAAGCCUGCAGCUUAACUGUAGAAUUGCCAUUGAUACUGGAGACCUUGAGUGUAGUAGAAGUAGGC
rnacentral:rRNA from 1 species